rfam:Corchorus olitorius cultivar O-4 contig10058, whole genome shotgun sequence.
GAAUGGCAAGAAUGAUGAAUCAAUUAGAUGCGUGAAUGGGAAAUGAAAAUUUUCCAUUAUGAACUCAACUUUUGAGGCAUUAUAAUUUGUCUGACUUGCCAUUC